AAGGCUUUGUAAAAGUGCUGACACAAAAUAUUCAGCAGCCAAAAAUCGCAGGAUACCAAAGUCCAAUCCAGAUUCAUGAAGGAUUACUUCAACUGACUGCUGGGUUUGAAAAGAGGAGAGAUUCCCGAUACAUAAUGCAGGAAUUACAAAUGUGGAGGAUCUCAGAGCUGUCGUGCAUCAAGUGAGGCCUACAGUGGAAGAAGAAAGGAGAAAAGAGACACAUUUUAUUAUGCCUCAUUUUGUCUGCAAGGCCUCUCUUCAGCACCUCCACUAUGUCCAGCUCAAGCUCAACUACUAUCAUGGGGAUGAUGCUCCGAGACCCCAUCAGUUCAGCCUGCUUAAGGGUCAUCGGAAACCCAUCAAGCACAUAUCUGAAAUGCCAAACAUAUCAUACCAUAGUUGAUAUUGCCUUUACAUAUAUAAUCAAACCAACAAUAAUAGAGUACAAGAACUAUGUAAAGUAUAUAGUUCUUGUCUUGAAACACCAAAAUGUAUUGCAGAGAUUAAUUUAGGAUCUUAUCCAACCUUGAGUUUUGCUAAAUAUUAACACAUAAAUGUGACAAACCCUUCGUCUUACCCUCGUGUGCUACAGACUGAGUUCAUCAGUGCCACCUCCAGACACUGAAUGGCCAGUUCAUCAGGCACAACAAGGCCUUGGAAGAGAUACCCUCGCAUCUGUUUAGCCAGAUCAGUGUGCUCCUGUGUGUCCAGCACCGUACGCAUAACGCUACCAAUGGACAGCCGAGCCAAGCCAAAUUUCCGAGCAAACAUCUGUGCCACUGGACAAACAGAAACAGAAAAAGCUAAAGAAAUGAAGACAGUAAAUAAAAGAAAAUUUUUGUUUUCAGCUGUCAUGUGUCUUACCAGUGGUUUUUCCAGAUUUUGGAGGUCCAGUGACUGCUAUUUUAACAGGAAGUGACGGGGUGGGCUUGGGCUGCUGAAGGUACUUUAAGGGAUUGAGCAUAAAUGUGUUACAGUUCUCCUUAGAUGCAAAGAAGUAGAUAUACUGAUGGAAGAUCAGGGGAUGUGUUGUACUGAAGGGCCACUGCAGAGGCUGGAUCAGGUCUCUUUCUUUGUAUAGCUGUAAGUUGGGGAAUGUGCAAGGUUAAAAAAAAAAUGUUAGUGUAUUUUAUGAAGGAAAUUAUAUGUUGUUUUUCUGUCAACAUGUCUGCACAAAGCGAGAGACAAGGAAUACUCAUUAAAGCACUUUUUUGGAACUAACAGAAAUACAGCUGACAUUCCUAAACCUUGCCUACCUUGAUGGGGUCCAGACAGCCAAAGGCGCUGAAGAACUUGAAAGAGGAGAGCAGAAGCUUAUGUGCCAGGCUGUAGGGGAUGGGGUGGCAUUUUUGGAAGAGUGACUCCCUGUUGGUCAACAAAGGCUUGAUUUUGUUGAGCAGCUGAUGCUGAACAAUGCAGAGUUUGUGAGAAGCAUUGAUGUCCAUUCUGGGUAUAUUCUGUUCACCUAGGAGUUCCUAAUGAUAGAACAGAACAAAGCAGCAUUAUGUGGGCAUACAAUACAGCUACUUAUAUUGUAAAAUCAAACUACUUUAUAGUACAGGUCUUGUUCUAAAUAUGAAAUACAAAUAGAAAGGGCCAUGGUGCAUGUUUGUUUGGUGUAUUUGUACCAUCACAGUACUAAGGUUGGUCUCAUGUGCCACAAAACGCUCUUGUAUUCCUAUGGCCAGCCUCUCAGUAGCUAAUUCCUCAGUCUCCUCAUUGUCCAUGCCAUCAUCCUCUUCUGCAGGAAAUUCCUCCUCCAGCAGGGCCUCUAUCAUCUCUAUGUCUGCAGGUUCACCCUCUUUGUCAUCUUCUGUGGCAUCUUGAAAACUGAACUGUUUUGUUAGCAAAUACAAAAUAGAAGGGAGAAGUUGAAUGCGAAUGCAAAUGGGAUAAUCGGGGCGUGAUGAAUUUGCUUGCUUUUUUAAUGGUUGCCUUUGGGUCUUGCUCUGCCAUGAGUUCAGCCUUCCUCUUGGAAAUAGCCUCCUCCUGAAUUAAAAAGAUUACUAUCAAUGUGUCAGAUCCUCACAUAAUUAACAUUUGUCAAGACAGACAGCAAGACUGAUGCUUCU